AAAACAAACAAGUGAUACCACUGAACUUAACCAAAUUAAAGAAACGUAAAUAAGCAGACACUAAUCAAAUAUUUACUCUUUCCAUUCCUCAGCUUCCACAUACAUGGACAUGGAACACCUUCCCUGCAAGGACAGGCUGGGGUGGCUGGGGCUGCUUAGCUUGGAGAAGAGAAGGCUUCAGGAGACCAGGAAGGAGGGCUAUAUAAAAGAAGGGGACAGACUCUUUAGCAGGGUCUGUUGUGAUAGAACAAGAAGAAAUGGUAUCAGUAAUUUCAAACUAAAAGAGGGGAGAUGUAGAUUGGAAAAAAGGGAAAAGUUUUUACAGUAAGGGUGGUGAGGCUCUGGCAAAGGUUGUCCAGAGAGGUGGUGGGUGUCCCGUCCCUGCAGACACUCAAGGUCAGGCUUUGAGGAUCCCUUCCAACUCUGUCCAUGAUUCUGUGAUGCUCACUGUGGCUUGCAAGGUGUUUGUUAUGAGAAGGUUGUGCUGGGCCUGCCUUUUCCUGCAGAGGCCGAAAUGCAGACUUUUCCUGGGCAGCGAGAGGCAGCUGCCAGCUGAGAGGAGGAGGCGGCAGUGCUUGUGGUGGGAAUUGCCGCGUCCCUCAGCAGCUCUGGAACAGAAAGAAGAAGCAGUUCUAAACUAUCUUCUUCAAGAGCAUACAAGGCUUUCCUUUUGCUUCAGAGAAAAGAGCAUGAAUAGCUGUAACUACAGAACUAUGGACCAUGAAUAGCUGUAACUCCUGGAAUUUCAUCAGUGUAAGGAAAAAGGUAAUCAAUUUAUAUAAGCUAGCUGAAUGCAGGAUGUAUUCUAGCUGUAAUCUUGUAAAUUAGUGCCCAGCAACUAUCAGCUGAUGUUCUCCGUAGGAAUUUUUUUUUAUAAAAAGAACAUUCUUUUUUCUCCUUUUUCUGUUUGUG
rnacentral:lncRNA from 1 species